GCCUUUUGCUUUCAAACCCCUAGCCCUCGAGUCUAAGCGCAUAGGCACUCCUAAGAAACAUCUGUGGAUACAGGAUUUUUCAACUGCGCUUGACUUUAUUUACAACUCAUUUGAAUGUUUUUUCUGGGUAGUGGAAAUGAUUCUCAAAAAGAUGAAGAAAUUCAGUCUUCUAUAUGGCGAAUUUCUGCCUCAGAGAGUGAGAUUUGUUCAUUGCAAAGAGCAGCUGUUCCCUUAACCCUUAUCAAUGCUUAAGAUGGAAGAUGUUGCUUCUCAUUCCAUUAGAGUUGCCCAGGUACUUACAUCUCUGUUAGCUGACUUUCGGGAUAAAACCAAAAUAUUUGAUGACGCAUACCUCUCAGAUUAAAAAUGUAGGUUAGCAUUUGGGGCUAGUUUGCAACAUGUUUAAAGUCAUUAUUGGUGGAAGAGAAGCUGCUAAGCAAAUUCUAGCACUUGACUCCCGCUCAUCCCCAAAUCCACAAGUAUUUUCAUUUAGUUCGUCUGAAGUUUACCUGAGCAUCAAAGGCAAAAGGACUAGUUAUCUUUUAAUAAGUGAGUUUUCCAGGAGAUAAGUUUUUUUGUUUGUUUGUUUCAGACGGAGUCUUGCUCUGUCGCCCAGGCUCGAGUGCAGUGGCAUGAUCUUGGCUCACUGCAACCUCCGCCUCCCGGGUUCAAGCAAUUCUCCUGCCUCUGCCUCCUGAGUAGCUGGAAUUACAGGCGCACACCACCACGCCCGGCUAAUUUUUGUAUUUUUAGUAGAGACGGGGUUUCACCAUAUUGGCCAGGUUGGUCUCGAACUCCUGACCUCGUGAUCCGCCCGCCUCGGCCUCCUGAAGUGCUGGGAUUACAGGCAUGAGCCACUGUGCCUGGCCAGAAGUUUUAAACAUACAGUAUUUUAGUUUAUUUUCCUUUCUAUUUCUUUAUUUUCAAUUAACAAUAUUUAAUAUAAAAGUUACACGUUUAUUGUAGGAAGAUCAUACUGCCUCAUUUGAUAAGAGACUUCUGUCUUCUAACAGCUUCAUAUGUAUCCUAUUCUUCCCAAAUUGAAUGUAUUAUACAUAGAAGCAUAUUGUACUUCCUGUUUUUCAACCUGCUUUUUUUUUUCACUCAACAAUGUGCUAUAGCCAUCCUUUCAUGUCAGAUGUGUCUUUUAUCUACAAAUUUACCUUUGUCUCCAUAGUUUUCCGUAGUAUGACUUCACCAUCUUUUUUUUUUGAGGUGGAGUCUUGCUCUGUGCCCCAGGCUGGAGUGCAGUGUUGUGAUCUUGGCUCACUGCAACCUCCACCUCCCAGGUUCAAGGAAUUCUCCUGCCUCAGCCUCCCCAGUAGCUGGGACUACAGGUGCCCACCACCACGCCCGGCUAAUUUUUGUAUUUUUAGUAGAGAUAGGGUUUCACCAUAUUGGCCAGGCUGGUCUCAAACUCCUGACCUCAGGUGAUCUGCCCACCCUGGCCUCCCAAAGUGCUGGGAUUACGGGUGUGAGCCAAUGUGUCCAGCUUUCACCAUCUUUUCUAAAUGUUUCUAAACAUUUUUCUACUGAUAGACAUUCAGAUUGUCUUCAGUCUUUUGUAUUAAAAAUAAUGCUGUAAUCGACACCUGUGUACAUGGAUAAAACAUUCAAGUAUUUCUGAAUAUAAUCAUUUGAAAAGAGAGUACAAUGCUUAAACCCACAGAAAUGAACACUUUAAGUACCAGAUAAAACAGUGGGGACAAUGUUUAUUUAUAUAACAAUAUAUAUAAAAUUCUUCCUGUUGUAAGUGCCUUAAAAUUAUUAACUUUUAAUUUUCAUAACAACUCUGUGAGGUAAGUACUGUUAUCCCCAUUUAAUAGAUGACAAAACUGAGGUACAGUGAUUAACUAACUUGUCCAAGGUCACCCAGUAGAGUUAUCGACUACAGUAUUUGUGAACUUGAAAAAUAACAAUAAAAAUCAUAUUUUAGAAAGAUUAAUCUAGAUGAUGAUGAUGUGCAGAAGUAAGGAAGGCAGGCAGGAAUGGAGCUAAGGUUUGCAGUUUUAACUUUAACAGGAAGGGCUACACAGGACUGACUUUCUACCUGGGUUAAGGACAGAAUUUUUAAAGUCAGAGGUUUUAUCCUGGGUGACUGAUAGUGUGAUGGUUUCCCAUUGCCAGAUAUAGUGUGGUUGAGAAGGUUGAUUUGGGGUGAAAGAGGCUGAGUCUGAGCUGAUGGUGGGACACUCAGAAAUAAAGUGUACAAUUAAAGGUGAUAUGAGAAAUAUGGAAGAGAAAUGAAAAAGAAAGGGUGAGAAGUUUGAAGAAAAUCUUGCUGGGCUUUUGGUUAGAAUUGUGUUAUACCAGUAAGGUAAUUGGAAUAAGUUGAUACUUUAUUGAAACUUUAUAAUACUAAGACUUUCCCACCAAGAACAUGGUACAUUUUUUUCCAUUUAUCCAAAUGUUCAUUUAUGUCUUUCAGUAAAAUUUUAUGGUGUAGCUGCCUUCCUGUAUGUUUUUUACAUAACAUUUUAGGAUUGUAUUUAGGUAUUGUAUAUAUUCUGGGAAUGCUACGGGCUAAAUUGUGUUUCCCCCCACCGAAAUUCAUGCGUUGAAUCCUAAUCCCCAGUACCUCAAAAUGUGACUGUAUUUGGAGGUAGAAACUUUAAAAGGUGAUUAAGUUAAAAUGAGGUCAUUAGGGUGGGCCCUAAUCCAAUCUGACUGGUGUCUUUAUGAGAAGAGGAGAUUAGGCCACAUGGAGAAACCAGGGAUGCCUGCACACAGAGAAAAGACCUUUUGAGGAUGUAGUGAGAAGAUACCAUCUGCAAGGCAAGGAAAAGGGCCUCAGAAGAAACCAAACUCACAAGAAAGCCAACACCUUGAUCUUAGACUUCCAGCCUCCAGAAUUGUGAGAAAACACAUUUCUGUUUAAGCCACCCAAUCUGUGGUGUUUUGUGGUGGCAGCCCUAGCAAACUAAUACAGGUAGCUACUGUGAAUGGGAACUUCCCGUAUUAUAUAUUACAUCUCUAACCAGUUAUUUGUUUUGUAGGAAAUAUGAUGAUUUUGUAGUUUAUUUUCCUGGAUUUUCUGGAUGGAAAAAUGUUUUUAUCUGCAAAUGAUCACAGUUUUGCUGCCCACUUUCUAGUCAUUUUGCCUUUUGUUUUUUUUUCUUUUCUUUUUUUUUUUUUUUUUUGAGACAAGAGUCUCGCUCUGUCACCCAGGCUGGAGUGCAGUGGUGUGAUCUCGGCUCACUGCAACCUCCAUCUCCUGGGUUCAAGCGAUUCUUCUGCCUCAGCCUCCUGAGUAGCUGGGACUACAGGCACAUGCCACCAUGCCCGGCUAAUUUUUGUAUUUUUAGUAGAGAUGGGGUUUCACCAUGUUGGCCAGGAUGGUCUCGAUCUCCUGACCUCGUGAUCCACAUGCCUCGGCCUCACAAAGUGCUGGGAUUACAGGCAUGAGCCACCACUCCUGGCCUUUUAUUUCUUUUUAAAUCCUUGCUCAUAUAUCUUUGAGUAUAUCUGUGAAUAUUUCUAUCAGACAAAUUCAUAAAAGUUAUUACUAGUUUGUAAUGUUCCUUUUUCUAAAGAAUGGGCAUGCAGUUUUAUUAAAUAUCUUUUAGUGUCCAUUGAGAUGACCAUUUUUUUCCCUUUAUUCUGUUUUUUUAUAUGUAUUACAUUAGCCCAUCUCCAAUAUUAAACUAGCUUUGUGUUUCUGGGAUAAAAACUCCUUUGACAUUUGACGUGUGCUGACACUGACAUUCUUUGAGUAAAUAAAAUAAAAAACAGGAGUAUACCAGUGUACACCAACAUACCCUGCUGCUUUAUUCGGGUUACUGACUAUACUUUCUGUCUGAAAUUGUCUGCUGUGUCCUCAGUAGAUGACUCUAUUUAGUAACUACAAACCCUGAGUCAGGCUUUCAGAAUGCCCUUCUUUUUAUUUAUUAGUAGAGAUGAGAUCUUGCUAUGUUGCCAGCGCUGGUCUCGAACUCCUGGGCUCAAGUAAUCCUCUCUCCUCAGCCUCCCAAAGUGCUGGGAUUACAGGCAUGAGCCACUGUUCCUGGCCAGAGUGACCUUCUAAUGGUGCUUCCAUGGACCUCUCCUUUGCUCCUAUUUUCUUUCUCUUGCUUUUGGAGCUGCUCCUUUAGAGGUGAGACCACCCUUCAAGUGGGUGAAAUCAGCUGUGAGUCUCUCAUUGCUUCUGUGUACUUCCCACAGCCUAGUAAAUUUUCUCUUUGCUCCUCAAGCCCUGGAACAUUUGGGCCUCCACCCACCUGUCUUACUCUCUGCGGAGAGUCUUGCUUCAUAUUUAGAGUCAGAUUAAGACCAGUGGAAAUGAACUGCCUUACAUUUUCUCUGUUUCAGCAUAUCUUCCUCUGUCACCUAUUUUCUCCAGGUUUGGAUAAAAGGUAGUCUCUCCUGAUAAUUCUCAACACCUGAUGGACACCUAUUCCAGGAGAACACUCUGCAUCCUGAAGCUCAUUCUGUCCUAAAUGGAUCCCAUAUCUCCUCUCAACGCAGAGACAAAAACAAACAUUCCUUAGGCCUAGGACCAUCACUUCCCUUGUGUCUGUUCAUGGACCACAAUACCUUGCCUGCUUCAAUGGCUGCAAGUGUUUAUCAUCUCUGUCUUGUCUGGGCCCUGCAUACAAGUGACCUGCCCUCAUAUCCAACACUCCAGUUUAGACUCCAGUAACCUCUUACUGGUGGGUUCUAAUAACCUUUUAAUAACUUCCCUCUAUCUUGCCCCUUGCUUUAUAUUGAGAUCAUAUUCAUUGUUUCCCCUCCAUCUUGCUGCCUGGAUCAUGAAUGAUGUCUAUACCACAGGGACCAGGAUGCCAUCUAGGGACAAUGGAGCAAUGAGCUGGGAGGAACCUGGAUCCUGAACAUUGUGUGGAGUACAGCUGUCAUAAGGCUGAGGUUGCAUUGUGUGUGUGUGUGUGUGUGUGUGAGUGAGUGUGUGUGUGUGUGUGUUGUUUACUUUAACCUGAGCUUAUGAGAGCUCUGGGUAAUGUAAAUAGAAUAGCUCCUUUAGGAAGUGUCUUAGUCAUUUUGGGCUGCUAUAACAAAAAUGCUGUAUACUGGUGGCUUAAAUAACUAUUUAUCAUAAUUUUGGAGGCUGGGAAGUCCAAGAUCCAGACACUGGCAGAUCUGGCAUCAGGUGGGGGCCUGCUUCCUGGCUUAUAGACAGUUGCCUUCUUGCUGUAUCUUCACAUAGCUGAUGGAGAGAUCAUUUUGCUCUUAUGUCUUCUUAUAAGGGCACUCAUCCCAUUUGUGAAGGCUCCACCCUCAUGACCUGAUUACCUCCCCAAAGCACUACCUGCUAGUACCAUCACAUUGGGGAUUAGGCUUCAACCUAUACAUUUUAUGAGGAAAUGAACAAUCAGUCCAUAUCAGGGAGAAAUAAAUAUAUGUAACUAUAAUCACAAGUUAAGUAGUUAAAAUAAAAAAUAUCAAUAUCUUAUUCUGUGUGUGGCCCUGCCAAUUUACUAAAAGCUAUCAUAAAGGACACUGAUCAUAAAACUUAGCCAAUCAUUUUAGCCUGCACAAAUUCUAUACGGUAUUUGAAAUAAUCAACCAAACAAUAAUUCUUCAAACUUUGUUUCGUUUUGUUUUGUUUUGAGACAGUUUCGCUCUGUCGCCCAGGCUGGAGUGCAGUGGCACAAUCUCGGUUCACUGCAACCUCUGCCUCCCGGGUUCAAGCAGUUCUCUUGCCUCAGCCUCCCAAGUAACUGGUACUACAGUUUGUCCUCGGCUGUUACAGAGAAUUGAUACAAAAAAUGAUCAUGUGAAGAAUUUGCAUCUUCUGCAGAACUACCGGUAUCAGUCAGCAGUAGGAGAUUGCCAGACACGGUGGCUCACGCCUAUAAUCCUAGCACUUUGGGAGGCUGAGGUGUGUGGAUCACUUGAGCCCAGGAGUUCAAGACCAGCCUGAGCAACAUGGUGAAACCCCAUCUCUGCAAAAAAUACAAAAAUUAGCCAGGCGUGGUGGUGUGUACCUGUGGUCCCAGCUGCUGGGAAGGCUGAGGUGGGAGGAACAUUUGAGCCCAGAAGUUGAGCCGUGAUCACGCCACUGCACUCCAGCCUGGAUGACACAGCAAGACCUUGUCUCAAAAAAUAAAAUAAAAUAAAUUUUAAAAAAUCUUGGUUAU
rnacentral:lncRNA from 1 species